CCUACGGGCGGCAGCAGUGGGGAAUAUUGCACAAUGGGCGCAAGCCUGAUGCAGCCAUGCCGCGUGUGUGAAGAAGGCCUUCGGGUUGUAAAGCACUUUCAGCGGGGAGGAAGGCGGUGAGGUUAAUAACCUCAUCGAUUGACGUUACCCGCAGAAGAAGCACCGGCUAACUCCGUGCCAGCAGCCGCGGUAAUACGGAGGGUGCAAGCGUUAAUCCGAAUUACUGGGCGUAAAGCGCACGCAGGCGGUCUGUCAAGUCGGAUGUGAAAUCCCCGGGCUCAACCUGGGAACUGCAUUCGAAACUGGCAGGCUAGAGUCUUGUAGAGGGGGGUAGAAUUCCAGGUGUAGCGGUGAAAUGCGUAGAGAUCUGGAGGAAUACCGGUGGCGAAGGCGGCCCCCUGGACAAAGACUGACGCUCAGGUGCGAAAGCGUGGGGAGCAAACAGGAUUAGAUACCCGGGUAGUC
rnacentral:rRNA from 1 species